CAUCGUAAGCCAAAUGUUCAAAUCAAAAAUUUAAUUAAAAGUGUUAUGGUUGUCUAUAAUGUCAUGGGGGGUAGAUCUACAGCACAACCAAAGAACCUAGAUUGGAUUUAUCCCAUGAGUAAUCAACAACAAGGAGGUUACGAAUGUGGAUAUUAUGUGAUGAAUUGGAUGUUA